rnacentral:rRNA from 1 species
GAUGAACGCUGGCGGCGCGCCUAAUACAUGCAAGUCGAGCGAGAAGACGUAGCAAUACGUUUGUAAAGCGGCGAACGGGUGAGGAAUACAUGGGUAACCUACCCUCGAGUGGGGAAUAACUAGCCGAAAGGUUAGCUAAUACCGCGUACGCUCCUUGGACUUCGGUUCAGGGAGGAAAGCGAUACCGUGGGUAUCGCGCUCUUGGUUGGGCUCAUGUCCUAUCAGCUUGUUGGUGAGGUAACGGCUCACCAAGGCUUCGACGGGUAGCUGGUCUGAGAGGACGAUCAGCCACACUGGCACUGCGACACGGGCCAGACUCCUACGGGAGGCAGCAGUAAGGAAUAUUGCGCAAUGGGCGAAAGCCUGACGCAGCGACGCCGCGUGGGGGA